rnacentral:rRNA from 1 species
UACGUAGGGUGCAAGCGUUGUCCGGAAUUAUUGGGCGUAAAGAGCUCGUAGGCGGUUUGUCGCGUCUGCUGUGAAAAUCCAGGGCUUAACCCUGGACCUGCAGUGGGUACGGGCAGACUGGAGUGCGGUAGGGGAGAUCGGAAUUCCUGGUGUAGCGGUGAAAUGCGCAGAUAUCAGGAGGAACUCCGGUGGCGAAGGCGGCGUGCUGGACCCCUUCUGACGCUGAGGCGCGAAAGCCAGGGGAGCGAACGGG